GACGAAUGCUGGCGGCGUGCUUAACACAUGCAAGUCGAACGGAAAGGCCCUGCUUGCAGGUUACUCGAGUGGCGAACGGGUGAGUAACACGUGGGUGAUCUGCUCUGCACUUCGGGAUAAGCCUGGGAAACUGGGUUUAAUACCCGAUAGGAGCCAUUUUUAGUGCGAUGGUUGGUAAGUUUUUUCGGUGUAGGAUGAGCUUGCGGCCUAUUAGCUUGUUGGUGGGGUAAUGGCCUACCAAGGCGGCGACGGGUAGCCGGCCUGAGAGGGUGGACGGCCACAUGGGGACUACGGUACGGCCCAGACUGCUACGGGAGGCAGCAGUGGGGAAUAUUGCACAAUGGGCGCAAGCCUGAUGCAGCGACGCCGCGUGGGGGAUGACGGCCUUCGGGUUGUAAACUCCUUUCGCUAGGGACGAAGCUUUUGUGACGGUACCUAGAUAAGAAGCACCGGCUAACUACGUG
rnacentral:rRNA from 1 species